rnacentral:rRNA from 1 species
UACAGAGGUCCCAAGCGUUGUUCGGAUUCAUUGGGCGUAAAGGGUGCGUAGGCGGCGCGGUAAGUCGGGUGUGAAAUCUCGGAGCUUAACUCCGAAACUGCAUUCGAUACUGCCGUGCUUGAGGACUGGAGAGGAGACUGGAAUUCACGGUGUAGCAGUGAAAUGCGUAGAUAUCGUGAGGAAGACCAGUGGCGAAGGCGGGUCUCUGGACAGUUCCUGACACUGAGGCACGAAGGCCAGGGGAGCAA